UACAGAGGGUGCAAGCGUUAAUCGGAAUUACUGGGCGUAAAGAGCUCGUAGGCGGUUUGUCGCGUCGGCCGUGAAAUCUCCACGCUUAACGUGGAGCGUGCGGUCGAUACGGGCAGACUUGAGUUCGGUAGGGGAGACUGGAAUUCCUGGUGUAGCGGUGAAAUGCGCAGAUAUUAGGAAGAACACCAGUGGCGAAGGCGGCCCACUGGUCCGGUACUGACGCUGAGGUGCGAAAGCGUGGGGAGCAAACAGG
rnacentral:rRNA from 1 species